rnacentral:rRNA from 1 species
UACGUAGGAGGCAAGCGUUGUCCGGAAUCACUGGGCGUAAAGCGCGUGUAGGCGGAUCGCUAAGUCUGUGGUGAAAGCGCCUGGCUUAACCGGGCGAGGUCCAUGGAAACUAGCGGUCUGGAGGCCGGUAGAGGGGGGUGGAAUUCCGCGUGUAGCAGUGAAAUGCGUAGAUAUGUGGAGGAACACCGAUGGCGAAGGCAGCCCCCUGGGUCGACACUGACGCUCAUGCACAAAAGCGUGGGGAGCAAACAGG